CAUUGGUUAUGAGGAAAAACGAACAGCACAAAUAUGAGGAGGCCGUUUAACAGAACCAGUCGGUGCAUCCACGAUAUAUGCUCAUCUAAGAAUUCUCUCUUCGAAAGGAUUUCCUUCUGCAAGCCUCACUGCAAGUAAAGACCUCAUAACAGCGUUUGCAGGGUGACAGCUGGACACCAACAGAACGUCCACACUGAUAGCAGUACUUAAAGAUGGGCAGCCUGGAACAAAGCACAUACACGAAUGGCUGAAUCCACUACAACAACAUGACAGAGAGGAGACCAAAAUCAGCGUUCCAACUACAGAAAUAGAGCAUUAGUCACAAAAUCAACCUCUGUUAAAAAUUUGGGGCACCACACACUACUUGGUGAACUGUCCACUGUAUAAAUCUUGAAGACACUGAAUACAAAGCAUCUCUUGUUAGUGAAUCAUAGAAUUAUUAAAGUUGGAAAAGACCCUGAAGAUCAUCAAGUCCAACCAUCCAAUUAAACUACUAAGUCCAUCACUAACCAUGUCCUGAACAUCACUGCACUGUUAAUAAUACCUCCAAGCAGAGCGACUCCACCACUUCCUCAGGCAGCCUGAUCCAAUGCUUGAUUAUCCCUUAUGUGAAGAAAUUCUUCUUGUUCUCCUACUUAAACCAACCCUGGCACAACUUGAGCCUAUUUCCUUUGCAUCCUAUCACUGUGUGGGAACAGAGAUGAACCCCUGACUCACCACAACCUCCUUUCAUGGAGUUGUACAGAGCCAUAAGGUCUCCCCUGAGCCUCCUUUUCUUCAAACUGACCCAUUCCAGCUCUCAGCCAUUGCCCAUAGAUCUGUGCUCCAGAACCCUCACAGCUCCAUUGCCUGUUUCUGGACGUGCUCCAGGGCCUCAACGUCUUUCUUGUAGUGAGGGGCCCAAAACUGAACACAGUACUCAAGGCGCAGCCUCACCAGCGCUGAGUACAGAGGACACCUGGGCACACUGCUGUCUCACGUUCAGCCCCAGAUCCUUUUCCUCCAUGCAGCUUUCCAACCACUCUGCCCAAAGCCUGUAGCGAUGCAUGGGGUUGUUGUGGCCAAAGUGCAGGAUGUGGCACUUGCUCCUGUUCAACUUCAUCCCACUGGCCUCAGCCCAGCAAUCAGCCUGUCCCGAUCUCCCUGUAGGGCCUUAUCUGCAAAGUUUGUUACUGCAAAGGUAACAAUCUGAUAUUCAGAUGUCACUUUUCAAGUGUGAUACAUCUGCCUCAAAGACUGGUAUCAGGAGCUUAUAAGCCUCAGGAAGCAUUUGAGAACUACUGAGGAAGACCAUUUAGAUCAUCUUAACUUGUAUAAAUUCAUUGUCACUAAUUAACACAUUAAUUAGAGCAUUAGCACAAAAGAGAUGCUAGGAAAGCAAGCUCCCUCAACCACUCAUUAAUAAAUGGUAAUAGAUCUUCUGUAGGAAUCUACCAGGUAGCAACAGACAGUCACUAAGCUCAUACUGAAAUUUCUUCCUCCGUGCCUUUUUUGCUCCCUUUGGUGUUUGCAGGAACCCCAAACAUUCUCCUUACCAAAUAU